rnacentral:rRNA from 1 species
GCGUGGGAAACCUGCCCUUCAGUGGGGGAUAACACCCCUAACGGGGUGCUAAUACCGCAUUCGAUUUACCGGCCGCAUGACCGGAGAAUGAAAGGUGGCCUCUCCUUGGAAGCUGCCGCUGAAGGAUGGUCCCGCGUCCCAUUAGUUUGAUGGUGGGGUAACGGCCUACCAUGGCGACGAUGGGUAGCCGGCCUGAGAGGGUGUCCGGCCACACUGGGACUGAGAUACGGCCCAGACUCCUACGGGAGGCAGCAGUCGAGAAGCUUCGGCAAUGGGCGAAAGCCUGACCGAGCGACGCCGCGUGAGCGAUGAAGGCCUUAUUGGUUGUAAAGCUCUGUCAGAUUGGAAAGAAAUCCCGACGGUUAAUACCCGUCGGGUUUGACGGUACCAUCAGAGGAAGCACUUUUCUAUCUCCGUGCCAGCAGCCGCGGUAAUACGGAGGGUGCAAGCGUUGUUCGGAUUCACUGGGUAUAAAGGGUGCGUAGGCGGUCUGAUAAGUCAGGGGUGAAAUCUGCCGGCUCAACCGGCAAACUGCCCCUGAAACUGCCAGACUUGAGUCCGAGAGAGGAAGGUGGAAUUCCUGGUGUAGCGGUGAAAUGCGUAAAUAUCAGGAGGAACACCGGUGGCGAAGGCGGCCUUCUGGCUCGGUACUGACGCUGAGGCACGAAAGCUAGGGGAGCGAACGGGAUUAGAUACCCCGGUAGUCCUAGCCGUAAACGAUGGGCACUAGGUGUUGGAGGAGUCUACCCCUUCAGUGCCGCAGCUAACGCAUUAAGUGCCCCACC